UUCUGCUCAGUUGUCUUAUUUACGCAUGAAUUUACAUAAUUAUGAACAUAUGUCAGAAGUGGAAAAAGAUAAAUUUAAAAGAUUAUAUGUUUUAGCUUCUUUAGGCUUUAUAGCUAAGCUAAAACUUAUAUUAUUUUUUUCUACUUAUAUAAAUUCACGUGAACAGAAAAACAGUAAACAUUUCCCUAAUAUUAAUAAACUAUUGUUUAAUAAUAUUGAGUUAUCAAAUGAUUGUGCGCAGUGUUAUAACAACAGCAACAACAACAACAACAACAAAAACAACAACAACAACAACAACAACAACAGCAGCAACAACAACAACAACAACAGCAGCAACAACAGCAACAACAACAGUAACAACAACAGCAGCAACAACAGCAGCAACAACAGUAGCAACAACAGUAGCAACAACAGUAGCAACAACAGUAGCAACAACAAUAAUAAUAAUAAUAAUAAUAAUAAUGACAAUAAUAAUGACAAUAAUAAUGACAAUAAUAACGAAAAUAAUUAUGACAAUAAUAACGACAAUAAUAAUGAAAAUAAUAAGGACAAUAAUAAGGACAAUAUGAAUUUUCAAAAAAAUUUAUAUGAAAAUUUGAUGAAUAAUGAUUUCACCAAUGAUACUACUCCUAAUAAUAACACUGAUAGUAACAACAACAACAGUACCAAUAACAACAGCAGCAGUGGCAAUAACAACAGCAGCAGUGGCAAUAACAACAAUUUAAAAAUAAAUCCAGUAUACAAUAACACAGAUGAAAAAUUAUUUGCGCAGUUUUCUAAUUAUGUUAAUAAUAAUUACAAUGAAAAUGAACUGUUGAACUUAAUGACCAUUAAUGCUUUAAAUAAUUAUAACACACAGGUAUAUUAUAAUGAUAAUAAUGUAAAUAAUGAAGAAUAUACUAAUAAGAAUUUAAACAUGUAUAACAACAAUUGUGAAAUGGGACCGAAUGAUUUAAGUAGUACUGAAAUCAACACUGAUACUAGCAACGUUAACAUGAACGACAUAUACAGCCAUAUGAGCGAAAAUAUGAAUAACCAAAUUAACGAAAAUAUGGAUAACCAUAUGAGUGAUGAAAUAAA
rnacentral:lncRNA from 1 species